UACGGAGGGUGCAAGCGUUGUCCGGAAUUAUUGGGUGUAAAGGGUGCGCAGGCGGGAACCUGCGUCGGAGGUGAAAGCCGGCCGCUUAACGGUCGCAGUGCCUUCGAUACGGGGUUCCUUGAGUCCAGAAGAGGCCGGUGGAACUGGUGGUGUAGCGGUGAAAUGCAUAGAGAUCACCAGGAACACCAGUGGCGAAGGCGGCCGGCUGGUCUGGCACUGACGCUGAGGCACGAGAGCGUGGGGAGCGAACAGGAUUAGAUACCCUGGUAGUCCACGCUGUAAACGAUGCAUGCUAGUUGUCGGCCCGUGUGGGCCGGUGACGCAGUUAACGCGCUAAGCAUGCCACCUGGGGAGUACGUUCGCAAGAAUGAAACUCAAAGGAAUUGACGGGGGCCCGCACAAGCGGUGGAGCAUGUGGCUUAAUUCGAUGCAACGCGAAGAACCUUACCCGGGCUAAAUCGGCGGUGGCAGGCCGGGAAACCGGCCCUCCCUUCGGGGCACCGCCGAAGGUGCUGCAUGGCUGUCGUCAGCUCGUGCCGUGAGGUGUUGCCUUAAGUGGCGCAACGAGCGCAACCCCUGUGGUUAGUUACCAGCGCGUAGUGGCGGGGACUCUAGCCAGACUGCCUACGCAAGUAGUGAGGAAGGUGGGGACGACGUCAAGUCAUCAUGGCCCUUACGUCCGGGGCUGCACACGUGCUACAAUGGACGGUCCAGCGGGAAGCGACCCUGUGAGGGGCAGCGGAUCCCGAAAACCGUUCCCAGUUCGGAUUGGAGUCUGCAACUCGACUCCAUGAAGGUGGAAUCGCUAGUAAUCGCGUAUCAGCAAUGGCGCGGUGAAUACGUUCCCGGGCCU
rnacentral:rRNA from 1 species